GAUCCUGGCUCAGGACGAACGCUGGCGGCGCGCCUAACACAUGCAAGUCGAACGAGAGAUGAGGAGCUUGCUCUUCAAAUCGAGUGGCGAACGGGUGAGUAACGCGUGAGGAACCUGCCUCAAAGGAGGGGGACAACAGUUGGAAACGACUGCUAAUACCGCAUAAGCCCACGGCUCGGCAUCGAGCAGAGGGAAAAGGAGUGAUCCGCUUUGAGAUGGCCUCGCGUCCGAUUAG
rnacentral:rRNA from 1 species